CAGCAGCCGCGGGAAUACAGAGGGUGCGAGCGUUAAUCGGAUUUACUGGGCGUAAAGCGUGCGUAGGCGGCUUUUUAAGUCGGAUGUGAAAUCCCUGAGCUUAACUUAGGAAUUGCAUUCGAUACUGGGAAGCUAGAGUAUGGGAGAGGAUGGUAGAAUUCCAGGUGUAGCGGUGAAAUGCGUAGAGAUCGGAAGGAACAUCUGUGGCGAAGGCGACUAUCUGGGCCAACACUGACACUGAGGCACGAAAGCGUGGGGAGCAAACAGGAUUAGAUACCCCCGUAGUCCCUGUCUCUUAUAA
rnacentral:rRNA from 1 species